rnacentral:tRNA from 1 species
GCACUGGUGGUCCAGUGGUAGAACCCUUGUUCCAUGCAUGAGACCAGGGUUCAAGUCCCGGCCAGUGCA